AAGGUUUGGUCCUAGCCUUGAAGUCAAUUCUUAUUUAAUAUACACAUGCAAGUAUCCGCACCCCAGUGAGAAUGCCCUUACCUCCCUAUUAGGGAACAGGAGCUGGUAUCAGGCCCAAUUAUUUGCCCAAAACACCUAGUCUCGCCACACCCUCAAGGGUCUUCAGCAGUGAUAAACAUUGAGCAUAAGCGUCAGCUUGACUCAGUUAAAUUUAUUUAGAGCCGGCCAAUCUGGUGCCAGCCGCCGCGGUUACACCAUGUGGCUCAAAUUGACCUCUUCCGGCGUAAAGCGUGAUUAAAGUUUUCUAACAACUGGAAUUUAACUAAAACUAAGCUGUGACACGCUUGUAUUUAAGAAAAUCAUAAACGAAAGUUAUUCCAAUUAAUUCAACUUGAACUCACGUCAUCUGAGAAACAAACUGGGAUUAGAUACCCCACUAUGCUCAGUCGUAAACUUUAAUUUACUUUCUUCUCGCCAGGGAACUACGAGCUAAGCUUAAAACCCAAAGGACUUGACGGUACCCCAUAUCCCCCUAGAGGAGCCUGUCCUAUAAUCGAUAAUCCCCGUUUAACCUCACCAUUUUUAGUUACUCAGCCUGUAUACCUCCGUCGUCAGCUUACCACGUGAGCGUCAGUGAGCUAAAUGUUUCUUCAACCACACGUCAGGUCAAGGUGCAACAAAUGAAAUGGGAAGAGAUGGGCUACACUUUCUAUAUUAGACCACACGAAAGACUUUAUGAAAUCUAGUCAGAAGGCGGAUUUAGAAGUAAAACGGAACUAGAGAGUCCUUUUUAACCCGGCACUGGGGUGUGUACACACCGCCCGUCACCCUCCUCAAUGCCAAUAAAUAGUUUUUAACAUCUCUUUAGGCAACAUAGAAGAGGCAAGUCGUAACAUGGUAAGUGUACCGGAAGGUGUACUUGGAAA
rnacentral:ncRNA from 1 species